rnacentral:lncRNA from 1 species
AUGGAGGGAUCCCAGCAUGCACCAGAUGUUCAUGACUCUCCGCUGCCCUCUGCCCUGGCAGUCAGGGCGCCUGGAGAAGAUGGGGAGUUUGCAGUCCUCCAGGGGCACCGCCUGUAUCCACACCAGCCACCACCACUCUGCAGUAGCAAUGGAUGUGGAAGACCACACCGAGGUAGAGAACUCCUAAACCCGAGCCGAUUCCAGCAGCACCUGCAGGGCAGACCACAGAGGGAGGCGAGGCGGCCACUGUGCCAGAGGAAGCUGGUGGUGGAUGCAUCACACAGAGCCGAGAGGCCAAGGAGAGGUGUCCUGACCUCUCUGGUCACUGAACUUGGAGACGUCGUUCAUGCAUUCCUGCUCCUGCUCCUGCUGUUCCGCUGUGCAGAAAGCCUUUCCCUGCACUUCCCGUGGAAUGUCUGCACAGUUGUUACCACGGCUUGGCUGCUCCCCUAG